rnacentral:rRNA from 1 species
AAUCUGCCGCAAUGGGCGAAAGUCUGACGGAGCAACGCCGCGUGAGUGAAGAAGGNUUNNGGAUCNUNAAACUCUGUUGUCGGNNNNNAACAAGCAGGACAGGAACUGUUCCUGCCUUGACGGUACCCGACCAGAAAGCCACGGCUAACUACGUGCCAGCAGCCGCGGUAAUACGUAGGUGGCAAGCGUUGUCCGGAUUUAUUGGGCGUAAAGCGAGCGCAGGCGGUUCCUUAAGUCUGAUGUGAAAGCCCACGGCUCAACCGUGGAAGGUCAUUGGAAACUGGGGAACUUGAAUGCAGAAGAGGAGAGUGGAAUUCCAUGUGUAGCGGUGAAAUGCGUAGAUAUAUGGAGGAACACCAGUGGCGAAGGCGACUCUCUGGUCUGUAAUUGACGCUGAGGCUCGAAAGCGUGGGGAGCAAAC